rnacentral:tRNA from 1 species
UCCCCAGUGGCGCAAUUGGUUAGCGCGCGGUACUUAUAAUGCCGAGGUUGUGAGUUCGAUCCUCUACCCGUGGAA